AUUUUACAGUUGAUUGUUAUACAUGAUUGGAUGCUUAAAUUAGGCUACAAAGUGAACACGGGCAAGUAAAUUUAUUCAAAGUUUUCAGGAAAAUGUGGGUAGUUACAAAAAAACUGCACUGAAGUCUAUUUCUUUACUAAAAACUGUUGCUUUUCAUUCAUUUCUUUACGUUCCCCACUGAGUAACUUGACAAGCUCCAAAAAUCCUUCGAUAUUCAUGAGUAGUUUAUUCUUUAUUUUCUUUUUUAAGCCACAUUUGUCACUUUAGGUAAUAUGCUGUAUGUUAAAUAAAAACGUUUGCUGAAGUAAUAAAUGAUAAUAAACUACCUAACAUAUAACAUAGGUCUAUGCUUAAAAUCAAUGUCAAGCAUUGUAAACUGACAAAAACGAUAUGAAACAUGUAGGUCUAUAUGCCACCUUUUAUCAUAAGGAUAUUUUGAAAUGAGAUAUUUCCCCAAGAGAAUGGACAUCAUCAUAUGCAUGAUUUAUGGUAGGUAUACAUGUGGCAUUCCUAAGCCAAACGAAUGCCCUAUUCAGGGCUAUGAGUUUAAAAAAUUGGAAAAGAGCACAUCAUAAUUGGUCCCUUUUUUAUCAAUAAGCUACAUUAAUAUAAAGAAAAUCCACGAUUAUAAUGCACCACUUCCUAGCAUACUGAUAUUGAAACUUAUUCGGUUAUAAUCAGUUGAAUCACUUCAACUAAUGCAAUUACCUAAUACAUAUUUGCAGUUGUUUUCUAAAAAUAAAUAAAUAAAAAUAAUAAUAAUUCAUUAAACAUGACUAAGUUUACAAUAAUGUAAGUUAGUCUUCACCCUAAGAUUAAUUCACAAAUUUACCAGAUUUUACUAACCUAUAUAUAUAAUUACAAAGGCAAACUGAAGAUUGCUGGACCUAAAGAAUGAUUGCAUUGUAAGGCAUCACGUUUGGGUUACAUCUACUGUUGUAAAAAUCGGUUCUUAAUUAACAAUUGUAUGAUCGUAUAUGAUAUUAGCGCGUGAACACCCGAGAUUAGUGAAAAUGGUUCAUUUUUCAAAAAUAUUCUAUUUCAAUCAUUUUUUUAAUGGCAAAAAAAAGUUUUAAAAGCAUAAAUAUAUAUGCGGACCAACAGCGCCGCAUACGUGAGGAGUGCAGACCUCUACUCUGCAUUCAAUGACUCCCUCGAAUCUUCUCCGCACUUUUGGUUGUUUCUCCGCGCUUUGGCAACUCUGACCCAACCCAACCUAACCUAACCUAAUGAUUACUGGCUACCAUAUGUAAUAUAAUGUUACUUUGGUAGAUCUAGGUAUUACUAAUUACAGUUUCCUGUAGUAUUUGGGUCGCUUAUUAAAAAUGUACAGUUGUUUCUUGAUGGUCGACUGUAAUUAACUCCCAGGGGCUAGUACUAAAGAAAUGAAGUACAUCAGGCCCACCAAUCGCUAGUGGCUUUCAUAUUUGCGGGACCAUUCUUGUGGCACUUUCCUUUGACUUUAUUACUGGCCACCAGCUGGAUCAUGGUUAGGUUACCUUAAGGUAACCUAACCAUGAUCCACCUAACCUAGGAUUGCCUAACCUAAGGUAAUCGUAGGUUAGGUUACUUUAAGGUAACCUAACCAUGAUCCACCUAAGCUAGGAUUACCUAACCUAAGGUAAUCCUAGGUUAGGUUACCUUAAGGUAACCUAACCAUGAUCCACUUAACCUAGAAUUACCUAACCUAAGGUAAUCCUAGGUUAGGUUACCUUAAGGUGAUCCUGAUUAGGUCAUAUUCCUUCUGAAAUGCUUACUAGUAGGCCAGCAGCAGACCCCAGCCUCACUGUGUCAGCUCUGGAAAUAUACAUAAUGAAAAUUACUUCAGUGUAAUCAGAGACAAGUUCAGGGUAAUUAUGGCAUUGUCUGGAAUAGCCUAACCUAAUGUUCUCUACAUUUUGCUUAGUGUCCAAUUUUUAGGUAAUUUUGUAAAAAAAAAAAAAAUCCUUAUCAGUCUUGGAGUUACUUGGUAUUAUACUUUGGCAUGUUACAUCAAUAUCGCAACUUGAUAUUGGAGGUAUGAUUUGCUUUAAAUCUGUAUAGUAAUGUGUUUAGAAUGAAAAUCAAGCCAUAUUCAUUUGGAAAAUUACUCUCCAUAGGAGUUUAGGGGCUGUCGGUGCAUGUUAUGUGGUGCACUGUAGGCAGUAGAGAAGGUUGGUUGGUUGCUGCCCCUUUCGGCCCCUAUCUGUGGAUGCUUCCAUUCUUGCUUUCCCAUCUUUUUGUCCAAUCAAUGCAACUCCUUUUCACUUUCUUAUAUGCUGAAAGUAAUCCUGUGUAGGCUUUCAUGCCAAAUUAUCACAAAUUGCAAAUUAACUGCUGAUGAGAUAUAUAUCUUUUGUUUAACAUUUAUUCCUUUGUGGUUGGUACGAAAUUUGUAAUUGUUUAUGGAAGGGAAUGUAAGUAGUAUCUCUCCUGCUGAUGUUCCACAAACCAUGGAACUAGUGUACGUGGUAUCCUUUCACUCUUGAAACGGUUUAAGAAUCCACAUGAAUGGUUUCUGCACCAGCAGAUCUUGACAUAAGUAUUUUCUUUCUCAACAUUCCAUCACUGAAGUGGUCUCUGUGCAGUAUGCCUGUCAGCUUGCUAAUAGUUCCAUCCUGAAGAUGGUAACCCAAACCAUUUUUCAUUUCGUACCCUCUCAUGCUUGUAGUUUGUGAGUGUUCACAUAUAUAUGUCACAUGUACUUUAUAUGGAGUAGCAUUUAGGCCAAAGUAUCUGUUAGUGUCAUGUUAGAUACAGUUAACUACCAUUUGAGCAUCCAGUCUUAGUUUAGUUUCUAAAAUGCAUCCAUCAUCCUCCUUUUUAAUAAAGGGGGUCAGUGGGUUAGAACUUAUUUUAAGCCUGGUAUUUACCAGCAGCGCCCUCACUCAACUGCCAUUGCCCGGUUAACAUCCUUGUUACAAAGUUCAGUGAUCACUCCAGCUCUGACACUGAAGAUAAUCCUGAGCCUAGGGAAAAUGCAAAUUACUUUCAAAACUUUGGUAUAUUUCCAAGAAAUGCAAAUCUGAGUUAAGGUAGUAACAUGUUGCCCUACUCCAUGCAGGGGGAUAGUGCUAUCGCAGUGCACCUAAUUUUCUUUGCAGCAUGCCUUUGGCCCCUAGCUGCAACCCCUUUCAUUCCUCUUACCAUACCUCCUUUCAUAUUCUCUUUGGUCCAUCUGACUUUCCACCCUCUCUAACCAUUUAUUCAUAGUGCAAAUGUGAGGUGUUCCUCCUGUUACACCUUUAUAACCUUAUACUACUGUCAAUUUCUGUUUCAGCAUUGAAUGACUAAAUAGGUCCCAGUGCUUGGCUUUUGGCAUAAAUUCUAUAUUCAAUAUCACAUCACCCUACUGCUGGAGAGAAACUUACAUUGUGACUUUGUACAUUGUCAGGUACCCACAUUGUUGGGUACCCACAGCCCACUUAAAAAGGGAGACUGCCAAAUCUGAAAAGUACAUUGUCAUGUACCUACAACCUACCUAACAAGAGAGACUGCCAAGUCUGAAAUUUACAUGGUCGUGUACCCACAGCCCACCUAACAAGAGAGUGCCAAAUCUGAAAUGUACAUUGUCACUUACCCACACCCCACCUAACGAGAGAGUGCCAAAUCUGAAAUGUACAUUGUCACUUACCCACAGCCCACCUAACGAGAGAGGGCCAAAUCUGAAAUGUACAUUGUUACGUACCCACGCCCACCUAACGAGAGAGUGGCAAAUCUGAAAUGUACAUUGUCACGUACCCACAGCCCACCUAACAAGGGGGACUGCCAAAUCUGAAGUGUGCAUUGUCAAGUACCCACAACCCACCUAACAAGAGAGACCGCCGUCGACAGGUACUACUCUCAUACCACCCAACAAGGGAGACUGCCAAAUGUGGAACCUAGUGUCCAUGCUUCAGCCAACUUUAGCUUUGCCAGAAAUCAUACUUCAAGGAAAACUGUCUUUACAUGAGAAACUAAAGGACAUAGUUUUUCAAGAAUGAUAUGGAUUAGAAAUCAUUGUCAGUGACACAAGUAUGAAGAUGCUGUGAAAGGAAAUGCUAUUGUCAUUGAUCAUGCAAUGACUGAAUGUGAAGGAGGCGGCAGAAGUUUUCACUGGACUUCUCAUUCUCCAAAGGAUGGAGUGUAAGACCUCCCCCUGAGACCAUAGACAGAAACAGCUACUGGGAGGAGUUGUUCUUGCAAGUUGAAGC